rnacentral:rRNA from 1 species
CUCAAAUGAAUUGACGGGGGCCCGCACAAGCGGUGGAGCAUGUGGUUUAAUUCGAUGCAACGCGAAGAACCUUACCUGGUCUUGACAUCCACAGAACUUUCCAGAGAUGGACUGGUGCCUUCGGGAACUGUGAGACAGGUGCUGCAUGGCUGUCGUCAGCUCGUGUUGUGAAAUGUUGGGUUAAGUCCCGCAACGAGCGCAACCCUUAUCCUUUGUUGCCA